UUGACCUCAAAUCAGGUAGGACUACCCGCUGAACUUAAGCAUAUCAAUAAGCGGAGGAAAAGAAACUAACAAGGAUUCCCCUAGUAACUGCGAGUGAAGCGGGAUGAGCUCAAAUUUUGAAUCUGGCGGUUUUUGGCCGUCCGAGUUGUAAUCUAGAGAAGCGUCUUCCGCGCUGGACCGUGUACAAGUCUCCUGGAAGGGAGCGUCAUAGAGGGUGAGAAUCCCGUCUUUGCCACGGACUACCAGUGCUAUGUGAUGCGCUCUCGACGAGUCGAGUUGUUUGGGAAUGCAGCUCAAAAUGGGUGGUAAACUCCAUCUAAAGCUAAAUACAGGCGAGAGACCGAUAGCGAACAAGURCCGUGAGGGAAAGAUGAAAAGAACUUUGGAAAGAGAGUUAAACAGUACGUGACAUUGCUGAAAGGGAAACGCUUGAUGUCAGUCGCGUCGGCUGGGGAUCAACCUUGCUUUUUCGCUGGGUGCAUUUCCUGGUCGAUGGGUCAGCAUCAGUUUCACUCGCCGUACAAUGGCAAAGGGAACGUGGCACUCCUUCGGAGUGUGUUAUAGCCUUUCGUCAUAUGCGGUGGUCGGGACUGAGGAACUCGGCACGNCUUCG
rnacentral:rRNA from 1 species